rnacentral:rRNA from 1 species
UAGGCGUAAAUGAUGCGAGUUAAGUGUGGGGGCAUCUACGAGAUGGCCCUGUGCUGUAGGGUAGCCGUUAAACUCGCUGCCUGGGGAGUACGGCCGCAAGGCUGAAACUUAAAGGAAUUGGCGGGGGAGCACAACAACGGGUGGAGUUUGCGGUUUAAUUGGAUUCAACGCCGGACAACUCACCAGGAGCGACGGUUACAUGAAGGCCAGGCUGAUGACCUUGCCUGAUUUUCCGAGAGGAGGUGCAUGGCGUAGUCGUGU